rnacentral:lncRNA from 1 species
AUGUGUUGGAAAAGGUUCUUCUGUGGUAUCAGCUUUUGGGGAAAGUGGCUACUCUUGCAGAAUUUUGGAACUGUAAAGUCAAAUAGGGACAGGCCCAGGAGCUCAUCUACAUUGGAGGAAGCAAGAAAAAGAAGGGAAGCAGCCUGCCACAUAGUGACAGAUGGCUUUAAGAACCCUGACUUUCUAAUCCCUAGUCCAGUUCCUCACCAACUCAUAGCGUUCAAAAAGAACCAGUGUUCUUUUAAAAACAACACUGUUUUAGCUGAUUGGGGACAACAAUAUUUCUGUAUCCAUGCGACUCAUCAUGAUAUCAGUGUUCUUUUACAAAAUUUAUUGGAUACCACAAAGAGUUUGCUUCCCAGGGAAUACAGCCUGCAGCACACACUGAAAUCGCAUGGCUACCAGGCUGCUACGUUUCAUGAGUACCAGUCAACCGUGUUUUACUACCACGUGUCAGAGAAAAAAGAAAGUGUGAAUGUGAUGCCAUGGUUUAUCAGAGCAUUUGCUGCCCAAUACUGUCUUCACCCUGAUGACUAAGUUUGGUUGAGAAAACAGGAGAGGUAGCCUGCAUGGGUAGGUUGGACUUAUGGCUUUUAACGUCAAUAUCCUGUACUUGGGUCAAAAUAUAAUGGAUUAGAAGGACUAACUUGUAACAUGUCGUACUCAUGUAGCUAGUACGGCUUAUUACUAAAUGUGCGCAUUUGAUUCAAGAGAGUAAACUAAACCUUGCCUUGACACCAUUAUAACUAGCACAUCAUGUUCAAUAGUAAGAAAAAAAAAUUCGCAUCCUGAGAUGAACUAAAAAUAUGUAACAUCCUGUCUAACACUAGCCUCCAAAUAAAUGCAGACUUAAGCCUUUUUCUGUAAGUUGC